rnacentral:rRNA from 1 species
GACGAACGCUGGCGGCGUGCCUAAUACAUGCAAGUAGGACGCAGUGGCGAACGGGUGAGUAACGAGUAGGUAACUACCUAUUAGAGGGGGAUAACUAUUGGAAACGAUAGCUAAUAACGCAUACUAGUAGCUGGACCUGCGUUGUAUUAGCUAGUAGGUAGGGUAAUGGCCUACCUAGGCAACGAUACAUAGCCGACCUUACAGUGUGAUCGGCCAAACGGGGACUGAAACCCGGCCCAGACUCCGACGGGGGGCAGCAGUAGGGGAUCUUCGGCAAUUGGGCGAAACCUUACCGAGCAACGCCGCGUGAGGGAAGAAGGUUUUCGGAUCGGAAAGCUCUGUUGUUAAGGAAGCGGUACUUAACCAGAAAGGGACGGCUAACUACGUGCCAGCAGCCGCGGUAAUAC